CAAAGUGUAGCUUAUGCAAAGCGCCUGGCCUACACCCAGAAGAUUCCAUACAAGAGUGGCCACUUUGA
rnacentral:tRNA from 1 species